rnacentral:rRNA from 1 species
CCUACGGGAGGCAGCAGUGAGGAAUAUUGGUCAAUGGACGCAAGUCUGAACCAGCCAUGCCGCGUGCAGGAAGACGGCUCUAUGAGUUGUAAACUGCUUUUGUACGAGGGUAAACGCAGAUACGUGUAUCUGUCUGAAAGUAUCGUACGAAUAAGGAUCGGCUAACUCCGUGCCCGCAGCCGCGGUAAUACGGAGGAUUCAAGCGUUAUCCGGAUUUAUUGGGUUUAAAGGGUGCGUAGGCGGUGUGAUAAGUUAGAGGUGAAAUCCCGAGGCUCAACUUCGGAAUUGCCGUUGAUACUGUCCGGCUAGAGAGUAGUAGCGGUAGGCGGAAUGUAUGGUGUAGCGGUGAAAUGCUUAGAGAUCAUACAGAACACCGAUUGCGAAGGCAGCUUACCAAGCUACUUCUGACGUUGAGGCACGAAAGCGUGGGGAGCAAACAGGAUUAGAUACCCGAGUAGUC